GAUGAACGCUGGCGGCGUGCCUAAUACAUGCAAGUCGAGCGAACAGACGAGGAGCUUGCUCCUCUGACGUUAGCGGCGGACGGGUGAGUAACACGUGGAUAACCUACCUAUAAGACUGGGAUAACUUCGGGAAACCGGAGCUAAUACCGGAUAAUAUAUUGAACCACAUGGUUCAAUAGUGAAAGACGGUUUUGCUGUCACUUAUAGAUGGAUCCGCGCCGCAUUAGCUAGUUGGUAAGGUAACGGCUUACCAAGGCAACGAUGCGUAGCCGACCUGAGAGGGUGAUCGGCCACACUGGAAGUGAGACACGGUCCAGACUCCUACGGGAGGCAGCAGUAGGGAAUCUUCCGCGAUGGGCGAAAGCCUGACGGAGCAACGGCGCGUGAGUGAUGAAGGUCUUCGGAUCGUAAAACUCGGUGAUUAGGGAAGAACAAAUGUGUAAGUAACUAUGCACGUCUUGACGGUACCUAAUCAGAAAGCCACGGCUAACUACGUG
rnacentral:rRNA from 1 species